rnacentral:tRNA from 1 species
GCCGGCGUGGCUCAGUGGAUAGAGCUCCGGCCUGCGGACUGAAGGAUCGCAGGUUCGAUUCCUGUCAAGGGCA